AUGCAAUUAAAUAUACAUAUAAACAUCAUAAAAUUAAAGAAGGAAGAGGUGACUAGGGGUUAACCCGUCAGCAGGAUGCUACUGGAACGAAGUAACUCUGACUUUGGGGACCACCAUACAAGUACACAUCACAGUGAUGUCUGGUGGUAUGCCCCCCACACCUGAGAGCUUUGGCUCUCGCUCCCCGCACCUCCAGCUAUUGACUUGCCGUCUGCUGUAUGGACACUUGGAAUAAAGCAUCGUUUGGCAAAUACUUCUCAGUGGGAAAAAUGAUACAAUGUUAUAGGCGGACAUCUCCGGAAAUGACUGUGAGGGGAAUUGCUGCUCCUGACUGGACUGGUAGGAAACGAAAGUCUUCCUGAGAACAACAGCAGGAAAAUCCCAGAAGUUUCCAUAAUGACAUCAGUAAAGUUCUUCCUCUCAAGCAACAAGAAAACAUUUAUCUUAGUAAAACUUCUUCUUCCUCCUUAGCAUCUUCUUUCCUAUCUCGUGAAUUCAGGUAGAAGAAACAGAC